rnacentral:rRNA from 1 species
GGAAUAUUGGACAAUGGACCAAAAGUCUGAUCCAGCAAUUCUGUGUGCACGAUGACGUUUUUCGGAAUGUAAAGUGCUUUCAGUUGGGAAGAAAAAAAUUACGGUACCAACAGAAGAAGUGACGGCUAAAUACGUCCCAGCAGCCGCGGUAAUACGUAUGUCACAAGCGUUAUCCGGAUUUAUUGGGCGUAAAGCGCGUCUAGGUGGUUAUGUAAGUCUGAUGUGAAAAUGCAGGGCUCAACUCUGUAUUGCGUUGGAAACUGUAUGACUAGAGUACUGGAGAGGUAAGCGGAACUACAAGUGUAGAGGUGAAAUUCGUAGAUAUUUGUAGGAAUGCCGAUGGGGAAGCCAGCUUACUGGACAGAUACUGACGCUAAAGCGCGAAAGCGUGGGUAGCAAAC